rnacentral:rRNA from 1 species
GCGGGGAAUAUUGGGCAAUGGGGGAAACCCUGACCCAGCAACGCCGCGUGAAUGAAGAAGGCCUUCGGGUUGUAAAAUUCUUUGACGAGGGAAGAUAAUGACGGUACCUCGAAAACAAGCUCCGGCUAACUACGUGCCAGCAGCCGCGGUAAUACGUAGGGAGCGAGCGUUAUCCGGAUUUACUGGGUGUAAAGGGCGCGUAGGCGGUCAUUUAAGUCAGCUGUGAAAUGGUUUGGCUUAACCGGAUCAGGCGGUUGAAACUGGAUGACUGGAGUGCUGGAGAGGCAAGUGGAAUUCCCAGUGUAGCGGUGAAAUGCAUAGAUAUCACGCAGAACUCCGAUUGCGAAGGCAGCUUACUGGGAUGCAACUGACACUGAUGCACGAAAGCGUGGGUAUCAAACAGGAUUAGAUACCCUGGUAGUCC